rnacentral:rRNA from 1 species
UGCAGUCGAACGAUGAAGCCCAGCUUGCUGGGUGGAUUAGUGGCGAACGGGUGAGUAACACGUGAGUAACCUGCCCUUGACUCUAGGAUAAGCCCGGGAAACUGGGUCUAAUACUGGAUAGGAACGUCUACCGCAUGGUGGGUGUUGGAAAGAAUUUCGGUCAUGGAUGGACUCGCGGCCUAUCAGCUUGUUGGUGAGGUAAUGGCUCACCAAGGCGACGACGGGUAGCCGGCCUGAGAGGGUGACCGGCCACACUGGGACUGAGACACGGCCCAGACUCCUACGGGAGGCAGCAGUGGGGAAUAUUGCACAAUGGGCGAAAGCCUGAUGCAGCGACGCCGCGUGAGGGAUGACGGCCUUCGGGUUGUAAACCUCUUUCAGUAGGGAAGAAGCGAAAGUGACGGUACCUGCAGAAGAAGCACCGGCUAACUACGUGCCAGCAGCCGCGGUAAUACGUAGGGUGCGAGCGUUAUCCGGAAUUAUUGGGCGUAAAGAGCUCGUAGGCGGUUUGUCGCGUCUGUCGUGAAAGUCCGGGGCUUAACCCCGGAUCUGCGGUGGGUACGGGCAGACUAGAGUGCAGUAGGGGAGACUGGAAUUCCUGGUGUAGCGGUGGAAUGCGCAGAUAUCAGGAGGAACACCGAUGGCGAAGGCAGGUCUCUGGGCUGUAACUGACGCUGAGGAGCGAAAGCAUGGGGAGCGAACAGGAUUAGAUACCCUGGUAGUCCAUGCCGUAAACGUUGGGCACUAGGUGUGGGGAACAUUCCACGUUUUCCGCGCCGCAGCUAACGCAUUAAGUGCCCCGCCUGGGGAGUACGGCCGCAAGGCUAAAACUCAAAGGAAUUGACGGGGGCCCGCACAAGCGGCGGAGCAUGCGGAUUAAUUCGAUGCAACGCGAAGAACCUUACCAAGGCUUGACAUGUUCUCGAUCGCCGUAGAGAUACGGUUUCCCCUUUGGGGCGGGUUCACAGGUGGUGCAUGGUUGUCGUCAGCUCGUGUCGUGAGAUGUUGGGUUAAGUCCCGCAACGAG